rnacentral:rRNA from 1 species
AUUGAACGCUGGCGGCAUGCCUUACACAUGCAAGUCGAACGGUAACAGGUCUUCGGAUGCUGACGAGUGGCGAACGGGUGAGUAAUACAUCGGAACGUGCCCAGUAGUGGGGGAUAACUACUCGAAAGAGUGGCUAAUACCGCAUGAGAUCCACGGAUGAAAGCAGGGGAUCGCAAGACCUUGUGCUACUAGAGCGGCCGAUGGCAGAUUAGGUAGUUGGUGGGAUAAAAGCUUACCAAGCCGACGAUCUGUAGCUGGUCUGAGAGGACGAUCAGCCACACUGGGACUGGGACACGGCCCAGACUCCUACGGGAGGCAGCAGUGGGGAAUUUUGGACAAUGGGCGCAAGCCUGAUCCAGCAAUGCCGCGUGCAGGAUGAAGGCCUUCGGGUUGUAAACUGCUUUUGUACGGAACGAAAAGCCCUGGGUUAAUACCCUGGGGUCAUGACGGUACCGUAAGAAUAAGCACCGGCUAACUACGUGCCAGCAGCCGCGGUAA